AUUGAACGCUGGCGGCAGGCCUAACACAUGCAAGUCGAGCGGAUGAAGGAGGAUUGUUCUUGUCUUAAGCGGCGGACGGGUGGGUAAUUCAUAGGAGUAUGACUGGUCGUGAGGGCUAAGGUCAGGUAACGGACGCUAAUAUAGCAUACGUUCUGAGGUAGAAAGUCAUGGUUCAUCGGUGAUCACGCUUUUUGCUGUGACUAGGUCGGAUUAGCUAGUUGGUGGGGUAAAGGCCUACCAAGGCGACGAUCCGUAACUGGUCUGAGAGGCUGAUCAGUCACACUGGAACUGAGACACGGUCCAGACUCCUACGGGAGGCAGCAGUGGGGAAUAUUCGACAAUGGGCGAAAGCCUGACCCAGCCAUGCCGCGUGUGUGAAGAAGGUCUUCGGAUUGUAAAACACUGUAAGUUGGGAGGAAGAACAGUAAGAGAAAACCUGGCUGUUUUGACGGUACCAACAGAGAAAGCCCCGGCUAACUUCGUG
rnacentral:rRNA from 1 species